rnacentral:rRNA from 1 species
UUGAGACUUACCUUGGUUGCCUCGGCGGUCGGCGCUGCCCUGGGAUGACCUGCCCUGUAGUGACCUACCCGGUAGCGUUUUACCCUGUGCUUCGUACCCGUCAGUGGGCCGUUCUAAAUUCUGUUUUAUCGUGGCACUUCUGAGGAUGAUUGUAAAUCAAUUAAAACUUUCAACAACGGAUCUCUUGGUUCUGGCAUCGAUGAAGAACGCAGCGAAAUGCGAUAAGUAAUGUGAAUUGCAGAAUUCAGUGAAUCAUCGAAUCUUUGAACGCACAUUGCGCCCAUUAGUAUUCUAGUGGGCAUGCCUGUUCGAGCGUCAUUUCAAACCCAUCAAGCCCUAUUCGCUUGGCGUUGGGAGAUCGCGGGGCUCCGUCCCCGCGCCUCCUCAAAUCUAUCGGCGGAGUCGUAGCGACCCAAGCGUAGUAAUCUUUUUCCUCGCUUCAGGUGUCUGCUGCCGGCGUCCUGCCGCUAAACCCCUUAAUUUUUUUUUAGGCUUGACCUCGGAUCAGGUAGGAAUACCCGC